rnacentral:lncRNA from 1 species
UCAACAAGGAUCCUGGUCGGCAUGUGCGCAGCAUUCAUCCAAUCAACGAGGCUCCUAGUUGAGACCUCCCUACUUAAAUUCGCUUACCUCAGCCUCUCCUCGCAGUAUUGAAGCAGAGCGUCGGUGGAACCGGAGGUCUUCCAGAAGGCCACUGAACCCGACCCGUGGUGUAAAGAAAACAUACAAUUAUGUUUCCCCAUGGACGCAGGGACCCUGAAGAAUUUGAAAGCACACCAACAGAGGAAGAGAAUUUAACAUUUUAUCCUUUUGAUGACGACUUUCAGCACCCCAGUGCUUCACAGAGGAGUGAUGCUGAAGGUAUAAGGUGUCAGAUGUUGCGGGCUGGCAAGCUGCCUCAGGGGGUAGAAGUGUUUGCCCGGAGAGCUAGAGAGGACUUGAGUUUUAUUCUCCAGAACCCACAUAGUGGAAGCAAAGAAUCUACUCGAGAAAGCUGUCCUCUGAUUGCCACAUUGAUGUGUGUGUAUACACAUAAUACUAACUUUUUUAAAAAAAUGAAAGCUAACUGUUGAGUAUUGAUAAUGUCUUCUAGUUCUUUUGUUUUGAACCUAAUACACUGAAAAUGUGUUAGUUUCUUCCAUGUACUGUGCUCUCAUCUGGUCUUCAUAUUCCCAUAUCUAAAAAUUCUAGAAAUCCACAUAGUCUAGCUUUCGAAGUUCUAACAUGUUAAUCAAUAAAAUAUGUAACUUGCUAUAUAAUUUUAUCCAAGAAAGACUUGGAAAUUUGU